GACGAACGCUGGCGGCGUGCUUAACACAUGCAAGUCGAACGGAAAGGCCCUGCUUUUGUGGGGUGCUCGAGUGGCGAACGGGUGAGUAACACGUGAGUAACCUGCCCUUGACUUUGGGAUAACUUCAGGAAACUGGGGCUAAUACCGGAUAGGAGCUCCUGCUGCAUGGUGGGGGUUGGAAAGUUUCGGCGGUUGGGGAUGGACUCGCGGCUUAUCAGCUUGUUGGUUGGGUAGUGGCUUACCAAGGCUUUGACGGGUAGCCGGCAUGAGAGGGUGACCGGCGAAAAUGGGAAUGAGAGACGGCGCAGACUCGUACGGGAGGCAGCAGUGGGGAAUAGUGCAAAAUGGGAGGAAGCCUGAUGCAGAAACGCCGCGUGCGGGAUGACGGCAUUCGGGGUGUAAACCGAUUUCGCAUGUGACGAAGCGUGAGUGACGGCAAUGGGUAAAGAAGCACCGGCUAACUACGUG
rnacentral:rRNA from 1 species